GACGAACGCUGGCGGCGUGCUUAACACAUGCAAGUCGAACGGAAAGGCCCUGCUUUUGUGGGGUGCUCGAGUGGCGAACGAGUGGGUAACACGUGAGUAACCUGCCCGUGACUUUGGGAUAACUUCAGGAAACUGGGGCUAAUACCGGAUAGGAGCUCCUGCUGCAUGGUGGGGGGUGGAAAGUUUCGGCGGUUGGGGAUGGACUCGCGGCUUAUGAGCUUGUUGGUGGGGUAGUGGCUUACCAAGGCUUUGACGGGUAGCCGGCCUGAGAGGGUGACCGGCCACAUUGGGACUGCGAUCCGGCCCAGACUCCUACGGGAGGCAGCAGUGGGGAAUAUUGCACAAUGGGCGGAAGCCUGAUGCAGCAACGCCGCGUGCGGGAUGACGGCCUUCGGGUUGUAGACCGCUUUCGCCUGUGACGAAGCGUGAGUGACGGUAAUGGGUAAAGAAGCACCGGCUAACUACGUG
rnacentral:rRNA from 1 species